rnacentral:misc_RNA from 1 species
GAUGAAGAACGUAGCGAAAUGCGAUAAGUAAUGUGAAUUGCAGAAUUCAGUGAAUCAUCGAAUCUUAGAACGCACAUUGCGCCCGCCAGUAUUCUGGCGGGCAUGCCUGUCUGAGCGUCAUUUCAACCCUCAUGCCCCUAGGGCGUGGUGUUGGGGAUCGGCCAAAGCCCGCGAGGGACGGCCGGCCCCUAAAUCUAGUGGCGGACCCGUCGUGGCCUCCUCUGCGAAGUAGUGAUAUUCCGCAUCGGAGAGCGACGAGCCCCUGCCGUUAAACCCCCAACUUUCCAAGGUUGACCUCAGAUCAGGUAGGAAUACCCGCUGAACUUAAGCAUAUCAAUAAGCGGAGGA